AGCAGCCGCGGUAAUUCCAGCUCCAAUAGCGUAUAUUAAAGUUGUUGCAGUUAAAAAGCUCGUAGUUGAACUUCGGGGUUUACCCAUUGGUCAGGCUUAAUUGUCUGUACUGGUGAGAUGAAUCUCUACCUUCUGAGGAACUUUCAUGCCAUUUAUUUGGUGCGAUUGGAAAUCAGGACUGUUACUUUGAAAAAAUUAGAGUGUUUAAAGCAGGCUACGUCU
rnacentral:rRNA from 1 species